rnacentral:rRNA from 1 species
GAAAGUAAGCAAGGGCGUACGGGGGAUGCCUAGGCUCUUGGAGGCGAAGAAGGACGUGUUAAGCUGCGAAAAGCUGCGGGGAUUUGCAAAAGAGAGUUGAUCCGCAGAUAUCCGAAUGGGGCAACCCGGCAGAUAGGAGAUCUGUCACAUCGAGAGAUGAGCGAACCCUAUGAACUGAAACAUCUAAGUAAUAGGAGGAGGAGAAAGAAACAUCGAUUUCCCGAGUAGUGGCGAGCGAAAAGGAAAUAGCCCAAACCGGUGUUGUUACGGCAACGUCGGGGUUGUAGGACUGCGAAAUCUUAAUACGAACGAACGGGAACAUGCUGGAAAGCGUGACCAUAGAGGGUGAAAGUCCCGUACCGGUAAGUUGCGUAAGCGGAAGCAGUAUCCUGAGUAUGGCGGGACACGAGGAAUCCUGUCAGAAACCGCGGGGACCACCCCGCAAGGCUAAAUACUCCCAAGAGACCGAUAGUGGACCAGUACCGUGAGGGAAAGGUGAAAAGUACCCCGAACAGGGGAGUGAAAAAGAACCUGAAACCGUACGCUUACAACCUGUCGGAGCGGCUUAGUGCCGUGACGGCGUGCCUUUUGCAUAAUGAGCCUACGAGUUACUAAUCACUAGCGAGGUUAAGGGCUAUAAGGUCCGGAGCCGAAGCGAAAGCGAGUCUGAAUAGGGCGCAAAGUUAGUGGUUGUAGACGCGAAACCUUGCGAUCUACCCAUGAGCAGGAUGAAAGUUGGGUAAAACCACCUGGAGGUCCGCACCGGUAAACGUUGAAAAGUUUUCGGAUGACUUGUGGGUAGGGGUGAAAGGCUAAUCAAGCUGGGAAAUAGCUCGUACUCCCCGAAAUGCUUUUAGGAGCAGCGUUUUAAUAGUCUACUGGAGGUAGAGCUACUGAUUGGAUGCGGGGGCUUCACCGCCUACCAAAUCCUGACAAACUCCGAAUGCCAGUAGAAUGAUUUAGAGCAGUGAGCGGCUGGGUGCUAAUGUCCGGCCACGAGAGAGGAACAACUCAGACCAGCAGCUAAGGCCCCGAAGAGUAUACUAAGUUGAACUAACGAUGUGCGACUGCAGCGACAGCUAGGAUGUUAGCUUGGAAGCAGCUAUUCAUUUAAAGAGUGCGUAACAGCUCACUAGUCGAGCGGUUGUGCGUGGAUAAUAAACGGGCAUCAAGUAUACCGCCGAAGCUCUGGGAUCUACGGAUCGGUAGGGGAGCAUUCCAUUCGCGUCGAAGUUGUAGCGUGAGCUAUGGUGGAGCGUAUGGAAAAGCAAAUGUAGGCAUAAGUAACGAUAAGGCGGGCGAGAAACCCGCCCACCGCAAGACCAAGGUUUCCUGAUCAACGCUAAUCGGAUCAGGGUUAGUCGGGUCCUAAGGGUAAGCCGUUAGGUGAUCUCGAUGGACAAUCGGUUAAUAUUCCGAUACCGAUGCAUACUGCGACGGAGGGACGGAGAAGCGUAAGCUGCGCCAACAUACGGAAUUGUUGGUUAAAGAGCGUAGGUAUAGGACGACGUUAAUAGCGACGUUUUGCUGAAACUCGACAGUACCGAGCGGCUACGGCCAAUCGGAUAGUCAGCCCAAGCAAGCUUCCGAGAAAAACUUCUAAGCUUCAGGUAUGCAUCGCCCGUACCGUAAACCGACACAGGUGGUCGAGGAGAGUAUCCUCAGGUGCUUGAGUGAAUCACGGAUAAGGAACUAGGCAAAUUGACCCCGUAACUUAGGGAUAAGGGGUCCCCACGUGAGUGGGGCGCAGCGAAAAGGUCCAGGCAACUGUUUAACAAAAACAUAGGGCUAUGCUAAUUCGAGAGAAGACGUAUAUGGCCUGACACCUGCCCGGUGCUGGAAGGUUAAGAGGGGAUGUUAGCGCAAGCGAAGCAUUGAAUCGAAGCCCCAGUAAACGGCGGCCGUAACUAUAACGGUCCUAAGGUAGCGAAAUUCCUUGUCGGGUAAGUUCCGACCUGCACGAAUGGUGUAA